rnacentral:rRNA from 1 species
AUUGAACGCUGGCGGCAGGCUUAACACAUGCAAGUCGAGCGAGCGGCGGACGGGUGAGGAAUGUCUGGGAAACUGCCUGAUGGAGGGGGAUAACUACUGGAAACGGUAGCUAAUACCGCAUAACAGCAUAUGUGACGAGAGGGGAUUAGCUAGUGGGUGGGGUAAUGGCUCACAUAGGCGACGAUCCCUAGCUGGUCUGAGAGGAUGACGAGCCACACUGGAACUGAGACACGGUCCAGACUCCUACGGGAGGCAGGAGUGGGGAAUAUUGCACAAAGGGCGCAAGCCUGAUGCAGCCAUGCCGCGUGUGUGAAGAAGGCCUUCGGGUUGUAAAGCACUUUCAGCGAGGAGGCGUUACUCGCAGAAGAGACACCGGCUAACUCCGUGCCAGCAGCCGCGGUAAUUC